rnacentral:rRNA from 1 species
CCUACGGGUGGCAGCAGUGAGGAAUAUUGGUCAAUGGGCUUACGCCUGAACCAGCCAAGUCGCGUGAGGGAAGACUGCCCUAUGGGUUGUAAACCUCUUUUGUCAGGGAGCAACGCCGGCUACGUGUAGCCGGACUGAGAGUACCUGAAGAAAAAGCAUCGGCGAACUCCGUGCCAGCAGCCGCGGUAAUAAGGAGGAUGCGAGCGUUAUCCGGAUUUAUGGGGUUGAACGGGUGCGUAGGCGGAAUGCCAAGUCAGCGUUAAAAUCGCGGGGCUCACCCGUAAAUUUGCAGUUGAAACUUGCAGUCUUGAGUACAGUAGUGGUGGCCCGAAUUCGUGGUUUAGCGGUGACAUUCUUCGAUCUCACGAAGAACUCCGAUUGCGAAGGCAGCUCACUGGACUGCACCUGACACUGAGGCUCGAAAGUGUGGGUAUCAAACAGGAUUAGAUACCCGUGUAGUC